rnacentral:rRNA from 1 species
UAUAACGCUGGCGGCAGGCUACACAUGCAAGUCGAGCGGUAGCACAGAGAGCUUGCUCUCGGGUGACGAGCGGCGGACGGGUGAGUAAUGUCUGGGAAACUGCCUGAUGGAGGGGGAUAACUACUGGAAACGGUAGCUAAUACCGCAUAACGUCGCAAGACCAAAGUGGGGGACCUUCGGGCCUCAUGCCAUCAGAUGUGCCCAGAUGGGAUUAGCUAGUAGGUGGGGUAACGGCUCACCUAGGCGACGAUCCCUAGCUGGUCUGAGAGGAUGACCAGCCACACUGGAACUGAGACACGGUCCAGACUCCUACGGGAGGCAGCAGUGGGGAAUAUUGCACAAUGGGCGCAAGCCUGAUGCAGCCAUGCCGCGUGUGUGAAGAAGGCCUUCGGGUUGUAAAGCACUUUCAGCGGGGAGGAAGGCGGUGAGGUUAAUAACCUCAUCGAUUGACGUUACCCGCAGAAGAAGCACCGGCUAACUCCGUGCCAGCAGCCGCGGUAAUACGGAGGGUGCAAGCGUUAAUCGGAAUUACUGGGCGUAAAGCGCACGCAGGCGGUCUGUCAAGUCGGAUGUGAAAUCCCCGGGCUCAACCUGGGGAACUGCAUUCGAAACUGGCAGGCUAGAGUCUUGUAGAGGGGGGUAGAACUCCAGGUGUAGCGGUGAAAUGCGUAGAGAUCUGGAGGAAUACCGGUGGCGAAGGCGGCCCCCUGGACAAAGACUGACGCUCAGGUGCGAAGCGUGGGAGCAAACAGGAUUAGAUACCCUGUAGU